rnacentral:pre_miRNA from 1 species
AGUGGGAUAGCUGGGUCAAAUGGUGGCUCCAUUCCCAGUUUUCCAAGGAAUCUCCACACUGUUUUCCAGAUUGGAUGCACCAAUUUACAGUACCACCAGCAGU